rnacentral:rRNA from 1 species
CGCGAAUUCGCCCUUCGGGGUGCAGCAGGCGCGAAAACUUUACAAUGCGGGAAACCGUGAUAAGGGGACACCGAGUGCCAGCAUCAUAUGCUGGCUGUCCGGGUGUGUAAAAUACACCCGUUAGCAAGGGCCGGGCAAGACCGGUGCCAGCCGCCGCGGUAACACCGGCGGCCCGAGCGGUGAUCGUGAUUAUUGGGUCUAAAGGGUCCGUAGCCGGUUUGGUCAGUCCUCCGGGAAAUCUGAUAGCUCAACUAUUAGGCUUUCGGGGGAUACUGCCAGGCUUGGAACCGGGAGAGGUAAGAGGUACUACAGGGGUAGGAGUGAAAUCUUGUAAUCCCUGUGGGACCACCUGUGGCGAAGGCGUCUUACCAGAACGGGUUCGACGGUGAGGGACGAAAGCUGGGGGCACGAACCGGAUUAGAUACCCGGGUAGUCCCAGCCGUAAACGAUGCUCGCUAGGUGUCAGGCAUGGCGCGACCGCGUCUGGUGCCGCAGGGAAGCCGUGAAGCGAGCCACCUGGGAAGUACGGCCGCAAGGCUGAAACUUAAAGGAAUUGGCGGGGGAGCAC